GACAGAGGGGGCAAGCGUUGCUCGGAAUCACUGGGCGUAAAGCGCACGUAGGCGGCUUCUUAAGUCAGGGGUGAAAUCCUGGAGCUCAACUCCAGAACUGCCUUUGAUACUGAGGAGCUUGAGUCCGGGAGAGGUGAGUGGAACUGCGAGUGUAGAGGUGAAAUUCGUAGAUAUCGCAAGAACACCAGUGGCGAAGGCGGCUCACUGGCCCGGUACUGACGCUGAGGCUGCGAAAGCGUGGGGAGCAAACAGG
rnacentral:rRNA from 1 species